GCAACCUUUAGGGACAAAUCCCUCUUGCUGUGAGGAGGAGCUAGAAGCCCACAGAGGGGAAAAUAGGGCUUGGGGCAGAAUUGCCAAGACCUUUGAAACCAGUGACCUGUGGAGACCAGGAAGUAGGGGAAAAGCUAGUGUGGCAGAGGCCGCUGAGGUUUCCCUCCCAGGACAAGCGCGACAGCUCGUAGUGCUGGUCAUGGCGGUGGCUUCAGCCCUCACAGGCAGGGCCGCACGUCUGUGGAAGAAACACUUCCACGAGCCCUCCGGUGGGGAGGGAGGCACCCAAGGGUGUGGGGAUAAGGAAACAUAGUGGCUUCUGGAAGCGAGGCACCAAGAGGAGGCCAGUGGGGGAGAAGGAGGACAGAGGAGAGGAGAGAAGGCCUCUCCUGUCACCUCCUCCUCCCCCUCCCCCGUGUGAGGAAAACCCAAGGGCUGACAAGUGCAUGGGAGGCAGGCUAGAAAGCAUGCAACCAUAAAACUGAACGAGUGUUUUUCUGGAGCUUCCCUUCCUGGCUCAGCUCUGCUUUGGAACCGGCAGUAGAAUUUCCAUUGUUCCCUAUUGCCGUGGGUGUGGGUGACUGUGUCCUGUCCUCCCGCACCAAAAAAACCCCAAAACAAAAAAACUGGCCGGGGCUGAGGGCUGCGGCCUGCUGCUGUGAACAAGAGGGACCUCUGCUGGGCUGAGAGGCAGGAGGAGGAGGAGGCCCCGCGGGGUUGUGGCACUGAUUUUUUCCCCAGGUGAUCAUGUCCUACACUUGGCAAAUGGCAGAAGGAGAGGACAGUGACAGUUGCUGAGGGUGGAGAAGUGGAGCCUGGAAGUGGAGCUGAGGGCAGCCCUUCAGGUGUGAAUUUAGGACUGCCUGGCUGCAGACUUCAUGUCUUAUCUGGACAGAGCGCUAGCAUGGCUGGGGCCGGUGCCCAAGGGCAGCGGCACCUGUUUCUGGUAGGAGGAAGACAGCAUGGGGCACUCACGUGCAGGGUUUGGAGCAGCUCUCUAGUUUGAAUCCUAGCUCUAGCUGCAUUGCCAGCUCUAUAUGACCUUGGACAACUUGGGAUUCUCUGCACCUCAAUCUCAGCUGCAAAGAAGAGUAGAUGGAAUAACGUAUGUUAAGAGUUUGUGAAUGUUAGUUAUUAUUUGAUACUACAGUAUUUACUAGCAACGCUAACUGUGCCACAAACAGCCUAACGCUCAGCAGUACCAGUGCUACCCUUUUAUCCAUCUCUGGAUCUGCAGGAAGCAGUCGGGUCCCAGAGCCAGUCGUACUGCAAGGCAGUCCCAGUCUACCCCUUCCGGCUGUGUGACUUUGGGCAAAUUACUUAACCUCUCUGUGAACAAGACGGGUAACACCUCACCCGUGGGACUGCUGGGAGCAUGAACUAACCUGAAAGUGCCUGAGUCCUGUCCAUUGUGUGAGAUCACGCGAUGAUGGGGUGGACCUCCCACUUGUUCUGCUUUGCCAUCCAGGGAUUCUGAAGCUCUCAGAUCUCUGAGAAAAGCCCCCAUGGCGUUCAGUUCACCCCGAAUUUAGCUCAGUCGGAAUUGUUCCCAGCGUGUCAUGUGGCCUCACCUUGGUGUCUUGCUGUGUGGCGUGGCUGGGCCAUGAUCAGAGCCACACAUGGCGGGUCAACAAAGAGAGUUGUUUUGAGACUUGCCAGGAAACCUAAAUUGGCCAAACUGGAAUACAUGAAGCAAAACUCGUUUGUUAUGAACCAAAUGCUUCCGUUCUCCUCCAACUUGGGCGGAGCUCCCCGGGAGCAGCUCCUCCCUCUCCCCCAGACAUUCCCAAGGCUUUUGUCACUGAACGCCCCCCUCCCCCGCAGGGCAGGCGGUGUUUACUCCUCCUGGGGGGCCGGCCCCUCCUCGCCCUCCAGAGGCGCCCGUGGCCAUCUCAUCCCUUCUCCUCCAGGUGACAGGUAGGGGGAGCCCGGGCAGAGGAGGAGCCGGUGAGGGUCCACACAGACCCCACAGCCACAGCGGUCACCACCGCAGGGGGAACAGGAGCAGCCGGCCCGACCUAGCGCUCGCCAAACGCCAGGCCGUCUUCCGAGGGCUUUGCAGCUGCCGACUCACUUCCUCGUCAACCUCCCAGCUGCGGCUGUUACUCUACGCAUUUUACAGAUGAAAAACUCCAGGCAAAGCCAGCUGAAGUAGCUUUCCCGACAGCACACAGGCAGAAAGAGGCAGCGGGGAGACCCGAGCUCGGGCGGGCUGCGGCCAGAGCCCCGGCUCUUAACUAGGGAGCAUCUAACGGAACCGUGGCAGGACAGGACCUUCAAAACCCUCAAUUUCUCCAACGAAGUGGAAAAAGCAAGAAGCCCUCCCCAGAAGCCAGGCAGAUGUCGGUCCCAUGCUCUUAGAUCCCUAGCAUCCAGAGCCACCAGUCAGAAUAAACCUUUUUUCUUUAUAAA